CCUUCAACCUAUUGUUUGCAUCCUAAAUGACAUGCAUUUACUCUCAUCUAUAUGCAUUUACCAUUUUGUCUUCCACAUUAUUUUUUCUUCUUCAUUUUUCAACAAAGCAAAAUUUAUCUCUGAAUUUUCUUCCUUUCUUUUCUUCCUUCCUCAUCCCCUCCCUUAUGGAUCAUCUCCUCACUGGAAACCCGCCACCAUUUACUCCUCUGAUUUAUCCCUCGCCGACAGAAAGUUAAUCUUACUCUUAUGCUUCUUCCCUUUUCAACUCCAGCGGCGCUGAACUCGGCGGCAGAUCCAUGGCUCUGAGUCUCGACAUUCAUAACGAGGACCUAACACAACACGCAGGGUUAUUCUUCUCACAUCUCACCGGAAAAUCAAUUUCUCUGAUCCACGCACAUCUCGCCGACUCCGCAACUGCCGCCACAACAACAAAUGACCUUCGUUCUAAUGAAGGUCCACACAGUUAUACUUACUUGAAUCUGAAGAGAGCACAAGUAUAUUGAUAAAUAUCAUCUUCGAUUCAGUUAUAUACCUUUUCCUUUUUAUUUCACUCUACCAAGCUUCAAGCUUUUGCUUUGUGGUCCCAACAGUUGUGAUCUUUAAGUUUUAAGGGUUGAAUCUGAUGCGAUCAGAAAGUAUUGUAGUUUGGAUUGAACGCUGAGGGAUGCUUUUGAUGCUGCACGGUGUUCAGAAGUUUAUUCACAGAGAGUGUAUACACUGCUUAAAGCUUUUGUUAGUUUGGAUAGAUAAAUUAGACACAUCCGACUUAAAGCUUUUAAAUAGAUGGAUAUUUGAUUUUAAUAGUUUUUGACAAUAAUUAUUUCCCUUCGGAGAGUGUAUUCUAAAACCUAAUUAUGAAGCCUUCUUAUUCUUUCUGACAAUUUGGUUUCCACCAUUGAGGUAAUUCUUAGAUGUGCUUAUUGUAUGGUAUCAUAUCAUUCUCUAUGAAUUUGAGAUACAACUAUUAUUUGUAAUAUUUUAUUCUGCUGGCAAUUUUAGAUACAACUAUUAUUUGUAAUGCUGGCAAUGACAAAAUGAAAUGUGUGUGAUGCUUUGUAGGGAGAGGUUCAUUUGUCUAUCAAGAUGAGAAAUUCACCACUCAUAGUUUUAUCUAA